AUUGAACGCUGGCGGCAGGCCUAACACAUGCAAGUCGAGCGGAGCGGCGGACGGGUGAGUCAUGCCUAGGAAUCUGCCUGGUAGUGGGGGAUACCGUCCGGAAACGGGCGCUAAUACCGCAUAAUAUCAGAUGAGCCUCGGUCGGAUUAGCGAGUUGGUGGGGUAAAGGCCUACCAAGGCGACGAUCCGUAACUGGUAUGAGAGGAUGAUCAGUCACACGGGAACUGAGACACGGUCCAGACGCCUACGGGAGGCAUCAGGUGGGAAUAUUGGACAAUGGGCGAAAGCCUGAUCCAGCCAUGCCGCGGGUGUGAAGAAGGUCUUCGGAUUGUAAAGCACUUUAAGUUGGGAGGCGUUACCAACAGAAGAAGCACCGGCUAACUUCGUGCCAGCAGCCGCGGUAAUUC
rnacentral:rRNA from 1 species